rnacentral:rRNA from 1 species
CGACGCUGGCGGCGUGCCUAAUACAUGCAAGUUGAACGCUUGAUUUUCACCGAAGCUUGCUUCACCGAAAAUCAAGAGUAGCGAACGGGUGAGUAACGCGUGGGUAACCUACCUAUCAGCGGGGGAUAACUAUUGGAAACGAUAGCUAAUACCGCAUAACAAUUGAGAUUGCAUAAUCUUAAUUUGAAAGUACCAAUUGGUACACUGAGAGAUGGACCCGCGUUGUAUUAGCUAGUUGGUAGUGUAAUGGACUACCAAGGCGAUGAUACAUAGCCGACCUGAGAGGGUGAUCGGCCACAUUGGGACUGAGACACGGCCCAAACUCCUACGGGAGGCAGCAGUAGGGAAUCUUCGGCAAUGGACGAAAGUCUGACCGAGCAACGCCGCGUGAGUGAAGAAGGUUUUCGGAUCGUAAAACUCUGUUGUUAGAGAAGAACGUUGCAUAGAGUGGAAAAUUAUGCAAGUGACGGUAUCUAACCAGAAAGGGACGGCUAACUACGUGCCAGCAGCCGCGGUAAUACGUAGGUCCCGAGCGUUGUCCGGAUUUAUUGGGCGUAAAGCGAGCGCAGGUGGUUUAAUAAGUCUGAUGUAAAAGGCAGUGGCUCAACCAUUGUGUGCAUUGGAAACUGUUAGACUUGAGUGCAGUAGAGGAGAGUGGAAUUCCAUGUGUAGCGGUGAAAUGCGUAGAUAUAUGGAGGAACACCGGUGGCGAAAGCGGCUCUCUGGACUGUCACUGACACUGAGGCUCGAAAGCGUGGGUAGCAAACAGGAUUAGAUACCCUGGUAGUCCACGCCGUAAACGAUGAGUGCUAGUUGUUUGGGGCUAUCCAGCCCUAAGUGACGCACAAACGCAUUAAGCACUCCGCCUGGGG